GAUUGACCGUGCAAGGUAGCAUAAUCUAUUGUCUUUUAAUUAAAGGCUUGUAUGAAUGGUUGAAUGAGAUAUUAACUAUUUUUAUUUUAAUAAAAAUGAAUUUUAAUUUUUAGUAAAAAUGCUAAAAUAAAAAAAUUAGACGAGAAGACCCUAUAAAUCUUAAUUUUAUUUUUUAUAAUAUUAAUUUUGAAAAUUUUUAAUAAAUUAUAAAAAUAAAAUUUUAUUGGGAGGAUAAUGAAAUUUAAUAAACUUUUAUUUUUUUUUAUAAAUAUAAUUAAAUUAUUGAAUAUAUAAUUAUAAAAUAUUUAAAAAAUUAAGUUACUUUAGGGAUAACAGCGUAAUUAUUUUAAAGAGUUCUUAUCGAUAAAAUAGUUUGCGACCUCGAUGUUGAAUUAAGAAUUAAUUUAGGUGUAGAAGCA
rnacentral:rRNA from 1 species